UCAACCUUUACUCUGGGUUUAGGCACACCUUACUCCAGGUUUUACUCACCCUUUACUCCAGGUUUACUCAACCUUUACUCUGGGUUUAGGCACACUUUACUCCGGGUUUUCCUCAGCCUUUACUCCUGGUUUGCUCAACCUCUACUCAGGUUUUAGUCACCAUCUAUUCCAGCUUUACACACACUUUACUCUGGGUUUAGGCACACCUUACUCCGGGUUUUACUCAGCUUUUACUCCGGUUUACUCACCCUUAACUCCAGGUUUACUCAGCCUUUACUCUGGGUUUACUCACCCUUAACUCCAGGUUUACUCAGCCUUUACUCUGGGCUUAGGCACACUUUACUCUGGGUUUUACUCAGCCUUUACUUCAGGUUUACUCAAUCUUUACUCAGG
rnacentral:lncRNA from 7 species